rnacentral:rRNA from 1 species
GGAUAAGUUAGAAAGGGCGCACGGUGAAUGCCUUGGCACUAGGAGCCGAUGAAGGACGCGACGAACCGCGAUAGGCUUCGGGGAGCUGUAAGUAAGCUUCGAUCCGGAGAUUUCCGAAUGGGGGAACCCACCAUCCGUAAUGGGAUGGUACUGGCAUCUGAACACAUAGGAUGUCGAGAGGCAGACCCGGGGAACUGAAACAUCUAAGUACCCGGAGGAAGAGAAAGCAAAUGCGAUUUCCUGAGUAGCGGCGAGCGAAACGGAAACAGCCCAAACCAAGAGGCUUGCCUCUUGGGGUUGUAGGACACUCAACAACGGAGUGAUCAAGAAACGGAGUAGGUGAACUGUCUGGAAAGGCAGGCCGAAGAAGGUAACAGCCCUGUAGCUGAAACUUCGUUUCCUCCAGAGUGGAUCCUGAGUACGGCGGGACACGUGAAACC